rnacentral:rRNA from 1 species
GAGACCGCCUGGGGAGUACGGCCGCAAGGUUAAAACUCAAAUGAAUUGACGGGGGCCCGCACAAGCGGUGGAGCAUGUGGUUUAAUUCGAUGCAACGCGAAGAACCUUACCUGGUCUUGACAUCCACGGAAGUUUUCAGAGAUGAGAAUGUGCCUUCGGGAACCGUGAGACAGGUGCUGCAUGGCUGUCGUCAGCUCGUGUUGUGAAAUGUUGGGUUAAGUCCCGCAACGAGCGCAACCCUUAUCCUUUGUUGCCAGCGAUUAGGCCGGGAACUCAAAGGAGACUGCCAGUGAUAAACUGGAGGAAGGUGGGGAUGACGUCAAGUCAUCAUGGCCCUUACGACCAGGGCUACACACGUGCUACAAUGGCGCAUACAAAGAGAAGCGACCUCGCGAGAGCAAGCGGACCUCAUAAAGUGCGUCGUAGUCCGGAUUGGAGUCUGCAACUCGACUCCAUGAAGUCGGAAUCGCUAGUAAUCGUGGAUCAGAAUGCCACGGUGAAUACGUUCCCGGGCCUUGUACACACCGCCCGUCACACCAUGGGAGUGGGUUGCAAAAGAAGUAGGUAGCUUAACCUUCGGGAGGGCGCUUACCACUUUGUGAUUCAUGACUGGGGUGAAGUCGUAACAAGGUAACCGUAGGGGAACCUGCGGUUG